CCCAGGGAAACCUGGAUUAAUACCGGAUGAGACGGGACCUGCGAUGGCGGGAUCCGGGAAAGGCGACUACGGCGCCGCCGGGGGAUGAGUCUGCGUCCCAUUAGCUAGACGGCGGGGUAACGGCCCACCGUGGCGACGAUGGGUAGCCGGCCUGAGAGGGUCGGACGGCCACAUUGGAACUGAGACACGGUCCAGACUCCUACGGGAGGCAGCAGCUAAGAAUCUUCCGCAAUGGGCGAAAGCCUGACGGAGCGAACCGCCGCGUGAACGAAGAAGGCCGUGAGGUUGUAAAGUUCUUUUCGGGAGGGGGAACAACCGUGGCAGGGAAUGGCCCGUCGGGAUGACGUGAAUCCCGGAAUAAGCCCCGGCUAACUACGUGCCAGCAGCCGC
rnacentral:rRNA from 1 species